rnacentral:rRNA from 1 species
AUUGAACGCUGGCGGCAGGCCUAACACAUGCAAGUCGAGCGGUAGAGAGGUGCUUGCAUCUCUUGAGAGCGGCGGACGGGUGAGUAAUGCCUAGGAAUCUGCCUAGUGGUGGGGGAUAACGUUCGGAAACGGACGCUAAUACCGCAUACGUCCUACGGGAGAAAGCGGGGGAUCUUCGGACCUCGCGCCAUUAGAUGAGCCUAGGUCGGAUUAGCUAGUUGGUGAGGUAAUGGCUCACCAAGGCGACGAUCCGUAACUGGUCUGAGAGGAUGAUCAGUCACACUGGAACUGAGACA